rnacentral:rRNA from 1 species
AUUGAACGCUGGCGGCAGGCCUAACACAUGCAAGUCGAGCAGAUGAAGGGAGCUUGCUCCUGGAUUCAGCGGCGGACGGGUGAGUAAUGCCUAGGAAUCUGCCUGGUAGUGGGGGAUAACGUCCGGAAACGGGCGCUAAUACCGCAUACGUCCUGAGGGAGAAAGUGGGGGAUCUUCGGACCUCACGCUAUCAGAUGAGCCUAGGUCGGAUUAGCUAGUUGGUGGGGUAAAGGCCUACCAAGGCGACGAUCCGUAACUGGUUUGAGAGGAUGAUCAGUCACACUGGAACUGAGACACGGUCCAGACUCCUACGGGAGGCAGCAGUGGGGAAUAUUGGACAAUGGGCGAAAGCCUGAUCCAGCCAUGCCGCGUGUGUGAAGAAGGUCUUCGGAUUGUAAAGCACUUUAAGUUGGGAGGAAGGGCAGUAAGUUAAUACCUUGCUGUUUUGACGUUACCAACAGAAUAAGCACCGGCUAACUUCGUG